rnacentral:ncRNA from 1 species
GAGAAACCGAUGAGAAAGAGGAGUACUCAGAGUCGCGAACAUUACAGAGAGCUGCAGGCGGUGGGAUUGCAGUAUGGGAACAUUUGAGGAAUGGACUUUCGAGGCUGGCCCCGAACCAACAGUAGGUGCCGGCGGGAUCCGGACCCGUUAUCCGACCGGCGCAUAUGAUAGUAUGUGAACAGAGUGGACUGAAACAGUCAAUUUGAGUGGCACCGCGAUAAUGAAACAUUACCGUCUCAAGC